rnacentral:rRNA from 1 species
UGUGAAACUGCGAAUGGCUCAUUAAAUCAGUUAUCGUUUAUUUGAUAGUACCUUACUACAUGGAUACCUGUGGUAAUUCUAGAGCUAAUACAUGCUAAAAACCCCGACUUCAGGAAGGGGUGUAUUUAUUAGAUAAAAAACCAACGCCCUUCGGGGCUCCUUGGUGAAUCAUAAUAACUUAACGAAUCGCAUGGCCUUGCGCCGGCGAUGGUUCAUUCAAAUUUCUGCCCUAUCAACUUUCGAUGGUAGGAUAGUGGCCUACCAUGGUGGCAACGGGUAACGGGGAAUUAGGGUUCGAUUCCGGAGAGGGAGCCUGAGAAACGGCUACCACAUCCAAGGAAGGCAGCAGGCGCGCAAAUUACCCAAUCCCGAUACGGGGAGGUAGUGACAAUAAAUACUGAUACGGGGCUCUUUUGGGUCUCGUAAUUGGAAUGAGAACAAUUUAAAUCCCUUAACGAGGAACAAUUGGAGGGCAAGUCUGGUGCCAGCAGCCGCGGUAAUUCCAGCUCCAAUAGCGUAUAUUAAAGUUGUUGCAGUUAAAAAGCUCGUAGUUGAACCUUGGGUCUGGCUGGCCGGUCCGCCUCACCGCGAGUACUGGUCCGGCUGGACCUUUCCUUCUGGGGAACCUCAUGGCCUUCACUGGCUGUGGGGGGAACCAGGACUUUUACUGUGAAAAAAUUAGAGUGUUCAAAGCAGGCCUUUGCUCGAAUACAUUAGCAUGGAAUAAUAGAAUAGGACGUGUGGUUCUAUUUUGUUGGUUUCUAGGACCGCCGUAAUGAUUAAUAGGGAUAGUCGGGGGCGUCAGUAUUCAGCUGUCAGAGGUGAAAUUCUUGGAUUUGCUGAAGACUAACUACUGCGAAAGCAUUCGCCAAGGAUGUUUUCAUUAAUCAGGGAACGAAAGUUAGGGGAUCGAAGACGAUCAGAUACCGUCGUAGUCUUAACCAUAAACUAUGCCGACUAGGGAUCGGACGGGAUUCUAUAAUGACCCGUUCGGCACCUUACGAGAAAUCAAAGUUUU